rnacentral:rRNA from 1 species
AUUGAACGCUGGCGGCAGGCCUAACACAUGCAAGUCGAACGAGUGGCGGACGGGUGAGUAAUGUCUGGGAAACUGCCCGAUGGAGGGGGAUAACUACUGGAAACGGUAGCUAAUACCGCAUACCAUCGGAUGUGCCCAGGUGGGAUUAGCUAGUAGGUGGGGUAACGGCUCACCUAGGCGACGAUCCCUAGCUGGUCUGAGAGGAUGACCGGCCCAACUGGAACUGAGAAACGGACAAAAGGCCUACGUGAGGAAGCAGUGGGGAAGAGUGCACAAUGGGCGAAAGGCUGAUGGAGCCAUGCCGCGUGUAUGAAGAAGGGCUUAGGGUUGUAAAGUACUGUCAGUGGGGAGGCGGUACCCGCAGAAGAAGCACCGGCUAACUACGUGCCAGCAGCCGCGGUAAUAC